rnacentral:snRNA from 1 species
AUGUUUACUGGUUGGGGAAAACUGUGGCCAAGAAGGUGAUGUUCCCAGGGUAAUGCUCAUUCACUGCACCUGGGAUCUUCUGAGCCUUCUAAUUUUCCCCAAAUUUGGGAAACUUGACUGUAUGAUUUGUGGUAGUGGAGUGGUGCACUUUC